UAACGGAGCCUCAGGUCUAAAGUCAUGAGGACAGUAAGUUUCGGUUUCACUAAGGAUAGCAUCUUAGCCUUAGGUGUGUUUCAGCUCCAGACAUAUUGAGGCAGAGCACCCCACAGGCUAUGGGACCAAGCCUCGGGGACCAGCAGGAUAGCGCUAUGGGUGAAUGUGGGUGACUGAUCAGAGCAAAGGAGCAAAAUUUAAAAGUAGACAUCUCUCUUGGGUAUGGUCCUAGUACUAUGGGUGAUGAUGCUGUAAAUUCUGGAUAUAAUCUAAAUGAAUGGUCAGAUAAGGAUUUGAAGCUGAACUUGAAGGUGAAGAAGAGUGAGCAGAAGAACCUCUGGAAACUGCCCUACGUGGCUGAUCUGGGGGUGUUACAGAAUCCAUUCUGCUGGAAUUUGGAAAAUUUUUACUAACCAACUUAUUUCUCUGUUUUUCUAUAUAUGAUGAAGUUUUGCAAAAGUCUGAAAAUAUGAUAAGAUACAUUUUUUAGAAUGCUGAUUAGUACCCAGGACACUAAUAUGACUCAACGGAAGAGUCAUGGAUCUACUUUAGCCUGGCUUAUAUCUGCCAUUGAAUUCAGUACUGGGAAGCCCAGGAUCUGUAUUAUGGAAAUAACCCUUUCUCAACAUUUAAACCAGCUACUAAUGAACUGGGUCUGAAUUCCACGUCAAAGUUUCCUAUAGAUUGAUCAGAAUUUUACUUAGCCUCAGUUCAUUAAUCUGCUGGCACCUUUGGUGGGGGGCAGGUGAGGAAGCACAGCGUUGUCUUUCAAGGAAGCAAAAACUGCUCCAGACCUAAAAUGUCCCUAAUUAACGAUAAAUUUAUUAGAAAUUUAAGGGAUGGAGGAGUGGGCUUCAUUCCAAGACUACCCAGAAGUAAUUCUGGAAGAAAAAUAUAGUGCCUUAACUGUCUACACUUAUUUAAAAUUAGACAUGCAAACAUACUAGAGUGUUGUUUUCUCUUUAAAUUUAUAACAACUUAAUGUGUGUUUUUUAAAAUAAAAUUUGUAUACCUUGAUACUGAAGAGUGAGAAACUGGAAGCUUUUCUGCUAAGAUCAGGAAAAAAGUAAGAAUAAAUGUCCCCUCUCACUAUUCCUUUUCAACAUUAUACUAAAAGUCCUAGCAAAUGCAGUAAGACAAAAAAUGGAAAUAAAAUGUAUAAGACUGAGAAGGAAGAAAUAAAACUAUCUUUGUUCAUAAAUGA